CUGUCACACCCCGUGCAACGCAGCAGGCUCUGUGGAGAGUGAGCCCCACUGCAGUGUGGGUGCGUCUUCAUCCGAGGGGUGCUUGGAGGGACUGGCCAGAUGGGCACAGCGGCAAGGAGGUGCUGGGAUGGGGAAGGUCCCCGAACUCCGGGCGGUGUUGGACAAGCUCAGGCUCACAGGUGUGGCCCUGCCUGGCCUGAGCUCUCCAGGAGCCUGGGGGCAGCUCUGACUGAGACAGGGAGAGAGAGAACACAGGUGAGGUCCCGCCAGGGAACACCUCGCAGAGCCGUGCGUCCCUGUACCGCCUCCCUCCCUCGGACACAGGCCAAGGCCCCACGGAGGACAGCCAGUGGCCCCCACGUGCCCUCUGACCCAAUCAGGCCCAGUGUGAGCAGGAAGCAAACCUCCACCGACCUCCACUGAGCAGAAAGCCUGGCGCCUCCUUCCUUCUCCUCCCUCCUCCCUGCUCAUCUCCCCUGUCCCUGCGCUCUGGUCAGGACUCUGCCUUCUCCAUCAGUUCCAAAGCUCCACCCGCAGACGAAACACCUGGAGCAACGUCUGCCCUCUGACCUCAACGGUAGAACACCAUCCAGGUGCGGUGGCUCACACCUGUAAUCCCAGCACUUUGGGAGGCUGAGGCGGGUGGAUCACUUGAGCCCAGGAGUUUGAGACUAGCCUGGGCAACAUGGUGAGAUCCCGUCUCUGCAAAAAAUUUAAAACUUAGCCGGCUGUCGUGGUGCACACUUGUGGGCCUGGGAAGUGGAGGCUGCAGUGAACCGUGAUCGCACCACCGCACUCCAGCCUGGGCCAGAGUCAGACCCUGUCCCAGAAAAGAAAACACAAAGAUAAAAGGCCCCAGAGUUUUCUGCAGAUUAAUAAACUGUCUCUACCUGGAACUGUGAAACAGUGAACGAGUGACUCACCAGCCCUGGGAGGAGGAAGGCCCCAGCCCCGUCCACAGCUCCUCCCACUUGGGCAGCUGUGUCCUGGCCCAGGUGCAUCUGAGCUCUGCCCUGCACAGCACAGGGCCCUCCACCCUCGCUGCUGUGGACAUGGAGAGCAGCGGGGCGCUGGGCGUGCCCCCGUAGCCCCGUAAUAAAAUCCACUGUGGCCGCUCC